UAAGUAAUAAUAAUGUUCACUUCCUGACAUACGGGGCUCAGCUCUUGGGUUACUGAGCCACACAAUAGAUGUUCAGUUCUUCUGUUGCCCUUGCUAGCUACCGUGCGUUUUUUUCUUUCUCGUAGCUGUGUGCUUUCGCCUCGCAAAUGAGGUUUAGUCUAUGGCUGACUGGCGCAGGUGUGCUGCAUUCCAGGGGCCGUAUCCUAUUUUGCACUGCUGAGCAGACCCUUGGCUUGCAGGAAAGCGGCUAGACUCUGGGUUUGUGUAUUUUUUUAAUGUUUUUUUUUUUUUUUUUUCUUUUUCGCAGGAACUGCAGACUCUCCUCCUCGGCUGCCUUAUGAAAGGUGGACCCGCCGCAUGCCCUGCCACCGAAUCGGAAAUGAAAAGCUCACCCGAGAAAGCUCGGAGUAGCAGGAAUGUGUGAUCUGCGCCAGCAGACAUACUCGUACUAAAUGCGUAUGGACUGAGAGGAAGUCGGCCUUAUAAGGGAAUGUUCACUUUCAGACACUCCUUCGCCCGCUUGCUCGUGCUCUCUCCUCCGGCAGACGUACAGUAGGAGUGUUCCCAUCUCGCACUGUCUGAAAGCCGUCGCGCUGAUGUUCCUGGAUGCUAAUGUGCCCCAUCCGUCAGCGCUGGUUCAUUUGGGGUGAAGCCAGUCACCACCUCCAUGCGUCCUUUGUUCUCGUUCAAGACAAAUAAUGCCGGUCAAAUGGGACGUAUUUGUCUGCUGCAGGACAGACAAACUGACACACCGAUGAGGAUAAAAUAAGAUAAGAUCAGAUUAUAUGGGAAAAUAACUCCCGCCAACAAACAUUCAAGCACAACAAUCCUUUGUUUGCCAUUUGCAGAAGUACACGUGCAGGUACACUGGGAUGCUUCUCUUUGCCGACACCAUCUUGCUCUCCAUAGCUUGGGGGUCACAGCACAGGGUCACCUAACAUACAGCACCCCUGAAGCUGGGGGUUAAGGGUUAUGCUCAAGGGCAGACAGACUCUUGAGUGUUCCGCCAAGGUUGGAGCUCAAGCCGGCGAUCUUCUGAUCAUGGAUACAGAGCCAUUCACCCCCCCCCCCGCUAACACUAUGAAUAAGUGAUAGGAAAUGGUAUGAAGGCGUUGGAUGUACCGCCGACAGUGUUUAUGGGCAAGUCAAACAUCAACAUCCCACUGCACUCAUGCAGAUCCCACUGCACUCAUGCAGAUCCCACUGCCAGCGCGUCUGCAGUUAUCUCGUCCCACCAAGCCUGCCGUCGCGUGCCUUUCCCAAGAAAUUCCCUAGUCAGUGGAGCAUAGGUAAAUUCUUUCGACUCUGUUAAGCUUUAAUGUCAUGCCCUCUGACUUUCCACACGGUCUGGCUGUGGUAUGGCAGCCAUUUCAAACUGGCUGCUCCAGAAGGGGCUCCUACUGCAUUACACCUGUUUCAGUUUCCCAUCAGCGCCUCUCUUUGAGCGUCUCAGUUAUCACCCCGGCGCGAGCCAUAGCUACUGGACCGUAGCUAGUUUUAGAAAAAUCACCUAUUGCAUUAGCUAUGCAGACGGUAUUAUUGGAGUGACAGUUCACAAAGAAAGGUCAAAGGUCAGCCCAUGACGAAGUUGACAGGAUUCCAUAUUUGGUGUAAAUGCUGUAAAGCCAUGCCAGUUAUAAUUGGGCAAAGGCAGCCAUGUGACCAAACUGGUGGGCAAAGGGGUUAGGGUGGGUGGGUAAUUUAAUGUUCCCAGGGUAAAAAUAACAAAGUCACAUUAGUAAAAGAGACUGCCAAACAGUAAUCUUCUCUGCUCCAUUUCCAUUCUCCUCAGGCUGGUAUUUAGGUGACUUGAAUUACAGACAUUCUACCAGAACAUUCUUCCUCCGAAUCCAUAGUCUUAAACGAAACCAAAGAAAACAGCAUAAACUCAAUUCAUCCAUUUUGACUGCUCCAGCAUUUUUUACCGGUACUGAAAAACCUAACCAGGGUUUUCCUAAAGGCGCAAAUCACUUUAAGCGGUCAGAGGCCAUGUCAAAAAUCUUGGAUGAGCCUUACCCACCUCUGGUUUUAACGGUAGAAUACUCCAGUGAUUGAAACCCAGGAAGCAAGGUCUUCCUGGCAAUAAACAAACUGCCGAGACGGAUUUGGGAAGGAGACACGGGCGUGGGUGAAUACCUUGACUUCCUCGUGUGGCGAUGGCGUACGUCAUGCGGUCGGAGCAGCACAACGAGGGAUGCCCCUCUGAUUGCUCUCUUCAGAAACACACAAUGAGAUGCAUGGACUACCUCCUAGGCACUGAAAAGCUCUCAUUCAUGGGACCAGAGCUCACUGGCUCCCAGGCGCCAAGACAAGCAGCACUGGAAUGCCCUGAUCAUCCUCUCCAUGGCAACCGGCAAGAGUUCUUGGGAACAAACAGUACCUGGAUCUUAUAGAAACGGCGCAACUGUUUCCUGUUGAAGUGCAAGUGUUUGUGGCUUUGUGGACGGGUGCCAACGUCAUAGGGCACUUGUCCACCGCUCCAGGUACUAUAUUUUUGGUACUUCAAGAAAGUACCAAAAAUACGGCACUUCAAGGUGUUGGUUUUCCUCUGGCAUAAAAACUAGUACCAGCACUGAAUGACAUCACAA